rnacentral:rRNA from 1 species
AACGAACGCUGGCGGCAUGCCUAACACAUGCAAGUCGAACGAGACCUUCGGGUCUAGUGGCGCACGGGUGCGUAACGCGUGGGAACCUGCCCUUAGGUUCGGAAUAACUCUCCGAAAGGGGUGCUAAUACCGGAUAAUGUCUUCGGACCAAAGAUUUAUCGCCCUUGUAUGGGCCCGCGUUGGAUUAGCUAGUUGGUAGGGUAAAAGCCUACCAAGGCGACGAUCCAUAGCUGGUUUGAGAGGAUGAUCAGCCACACUGGGACUGAGACACGGCCCAGACUCCUACGGGAGGCAGCAGUGGGGAAUAUUGGACAAUGGGCGAAAGCCUGAUCCAGCAAUGCCGCGUGAGUGAUGAAGGCCUUAGGGUUGUAAAGCUCUUUUACCCGGGAUGAUAAUGACAGUACCGGGAGAAUAAGCUCCGGCUAACUCCGUG